rnacentral:rRNA from 1 species
UACAGAGGUGGCAAGCGGUGUGCGGAAUUACUGGGCGUAAAGGGCGCGUAGGCGGCCCAGUAAGUCCGCUGUGAAAGUCAGGGGCUCAACCCCUGAAUGCGGGUGGAUACUGCUGGGCUAGAGUCCGGAAGAGGCGAGUGGAAUUCCUGGUGUAGCGGUGAAAUGCGCAGAUAUCAGGAGGACCACCGGUGGCGAAGGCGGGUCUCUGGGCCGUAACUGACGCUGAGGAGCGAAAGCGUGGGGAGCGAACAGG